UCAAACUUGGUCAUUUAGAGGAAGUAAAAGUCGUAACAAGGUCUCCGUUGGUGAACCAGCGGAGGGAUCAUUACUGAGUUGCAAAACUCCCAAACCCACUGUGAACCUACCACUGUUGCUUCGGCGGAUCCGCCCCGGGCGCACCCUCCAGGGGGUGUGCCCCGGAACCAGGCGCCCGCCGGGGGACCGAAACCUCUGUAUCUUCAGUUGAGUUACUCUGAGUGUGAUUUCUAAAAUCAAAAUUAAAACUUUCAACAACGGAUCUCUUGGCUCUAGCAUCGAUGAAGAACGCAGC
rnacentral:misc_RNA from 1 species